ACCACCCGCACCAGCAAGCCGCCCGGUGGAUGGCUCGGCUCGGGCGCCGAGGAAGGGCGUGGCAAGCUGCGAUAAGCCCGGGGUAGGCGCAGGCAGCCUUUGAACCCGGGAUUCCCGAAUGGGGCCUCCUGCCCGGGCCGAAUAGGCCUGGGCGCUCCGGGGUUUUCCUCGGAGCGGGAACCCCCCGAACGGAAACAUCUUAGUAGGGGGAGGAAGGGAAACCAACAGGGACCCCCUGAGUAGGGGCGACCGAAAGGGGGUUAGCCCAAACCAAAUCCCCACGGGAUAACCGUGGGGAGAUGUGGGGUUGAGGGCCCGGGUACCGCCGGGGCGGCCUAGCCGAAGUGGGCUGGAAAGCCCCGCCGUAGAGGGUGAUAGCCCCGUAGGCUAAAGGCCGCCUGGCGGAGUCCCGGUGUCCCGGAGUACCACGCCUUGGUUUUGGCGUGGGAAGCUGGGGGCCACUGGCCCCCAAGGCUAAGCACGUCCCGAGACCGAUAGCGCACUAGUACCGUGAGGGAAAGCUGAAAAGAACCCCGAAAGGGGAGUGAAAAGAGCCUGAAACCGGGCGGCUAAAGGAGGGGCGGCCCGAAAGGGUGCCCUCCCCCGAAGGAAACCGGGGUGAACCCGGGAGUACGAGGGGGAGGGUCCAGGGUCGCCCCUUCCGUCUAGAAACACGGGCCGGGGAGUUCCCGCCCGUGGCGAGCCUAAGGGGGUUAAGCCCCGAAGGCGUAGGGAAACCGAAAAGCCCGUAGCGGGGGUGACCCCGUGAGGGGCUGGGUCUUAAUGGGCCCGUAGUCACGGGCGGGAGACCAGAAACCGGGCGAUCUAGCCCUGGGCAGGGUGAAGCGGGGCGAAAGCCCCGUGGAGGCCCGAAAGGGUUCUGAUGUGCAAUUCGUUCCCAUGACCUGGGGCUAGGGGCAAAAGACCAAUCAAGCCCGGUGAUAGCUGGUUCCCCCCGAAGCGGGUCCCAGCCCGGCCUCCCUGGAGGAGGCCCACGGGGUAGAGCACUGAUCGGGGAUGCAGGGGCCGAAAGGCCCCGGUCCCCGGUCAAACUCCGAACCCGUGGGCUCUGAAGAAGGGGGGAGGCGGGUUCCUCGGGGUAAGCCUGAGGGCCGAGAGGGAAACAACCCAGACCGGGGUUAAGGCCCCUAAGUGCGGGCUAAGUGUCAACCUAGAAGGGUGUCCCCCGCCCAAGACAGCGGGGCCGUGGGCCUAGAAGCAGCCAUCGGCUAAGAAGUGGGUAACACCUUACCCGCUGAGGCGGGGGGCCCCGAAGAUGUCUAGGGACUCAAGCCCGCCGCCGAGACCCCGGCCCGCGGACCGUUGGUCCGCGUGGGGUAGGGGGGCGCGGCCAUGGGGCGGAAGCCGGGCCGUGAGGUCCGGUGGACCCGUGGCCGAUGCAGAUCCCGGUGGUAGUAGCAGCGAAGAGGGGUGGGAACCCCCUCCGCCGGAAAGGACCAGGGUUCCAUGGCAACGACAAUCAGCCAUGGGUUAGCCGGUCCUAAGGCGGGGCCUAAUUGGUACCCGCCGAAGGGGAAACGGGUUAAUAUUCCCGUGCCGUGGGGGUAGGCCUCGCGGCAACGCAGGCCCCACCCCCGACGCCUCAGGAUAGGGUGGGCGGGGGAAUACCCCGCUUAACCGCUGAAGGCCGGGGAGUGCCGUAAUGGCGAGAACCGGCCGAAGGCGGGAAUAGCCGGGCCUUGAGCCCGGUCCACCCGACUCCUGGGGCCCAUGAAAAGGGGGUGGGGAACGAGCCCCCACGACCGUACCGAGAACCGACACAGGUGUUCCUGGGUGAGAAGCCCAAGGCGGCUCGGGUGACCCCGGGCCAGGGAACUCGGCAAAUUAGCCCCGUAACUUCGGGAGAAGGGGUGCCCGCGGCUCUGGUGGUUACCCACUGGAGCCGUGGGUCGCAGUGACAAGGGGGACCUGACUGUUUAACAAAAACAUAGGUCCCCGCUAGCCCGUAAGGGUGUGUACGGGGGCUGAAUCCUGGCCACUGGCGGUACGUGAAACCCGGGUCCAACCGGGCGAAGCGCCGCUGAAGGCCGGGGGUAACUCUGACCCUCUUAAGGUAGCCAAAUGCCUUGCCGGGUAAGUUCCGGCGUGCAUGAAUGGAUCAACGAGGUCCCCACUGUCCCGGCCCGGGGCCCGGCGAACCCACCUCCGGGUGCAGAGUCCUGGGACCCCCGACGGGGCGAGAAGACCCUGUGGAGCUUUACUGCAGCCCGUCGUUGGGGUGCGGGAGGGGGUGCAUAGUGUAGGUGGGAGCGAUGAAGCGCGGUCUCCGGGCCGCGCGGAUGCGCCAAUGAAACACCACCCACUCCCUCCCGCACCCCUAACCCCGGGCAUAACCCGGGGGACAGCGGCGGGUGGGCAGUUCGGCUGGGGCGGCACACCCCUGAAAGGAUAUCAGGGGUGCCCAAAGCUCGGCUCAGGCGGGUCAGAACUCCGCCGUAGAGGGUAAGGCCAAAUGCCGGGCUGACUGCGCCCUUGAACGCAAGGGGCGCAGGGGGGAAACCCGGGCCUAGCGAACGCUCGUGCCCCCACCAGUGGGGGCCGGGCAUGACAGAAAAGUUACCCCAGGAGUAACCGGCUCGUCGCGGGUGAGAGUUCCCAUCGACCCCGCGGUUUGGUACCCAGACGUCGUCUCUUCCCAUCCUGGGGGUGCAGCAGCCCCCAAGGGUGGGGCUGCCCGCCCAUUAAAGGGGAACGUGAGAUGGGUUCAGACCGUCGUGAGACAGGUCGGACUCUACCUGUCGGGGGUGCUGGCCGCCUGAGGGGAAGGUGCCCUCAGUACGAGAGGAACGGGGCGCCGCGGCCUCUAGUCUACCGGUUGCCCUACAGGGCAGAGCCGGGCAGCCACGCCGUAGGGGAUAACCGCUGAAGGCAUCUAAGCGGGAAGCCCUCCCCGAAAAGAGGCGGCCGCUCGGUGCCCGGUGGGGAAACCCGCCGGGUGCCGGGUGAGGGUCCCCGUAGAAGACGGGGUUGAUGGGGUGGGGGUGUAACCCCCGAGGGUUUUCCCGAGGGGGGAGCCCGCCACUCCCAAUCGCCCCAGGUGCGGGUGGU
rfam:Vulcanisaeta distributa DSM 14429, complete genome.